CUGCGGUAUUUUUGGACCU
rnacentral:snRNA from 1 species